CCUACGGGCGGCAGCAGUGGGGAAUAUUGGACAAUGGGCGAAAGCCUGAUCCAGCCAUGCCGCGUGUGUGAAGAAGGCCUUCGGGUUGUAAAGCACUUUCAGUGGGGAAGAAAGCCUUGGGGCUAAUACCCUCGAGGAAGGACAUCACCCACAGAAGAAGCACCGGCUAACUCCGUGCCGGCAGCCGCGGUAAUACGGAGGGUGCGAGCGUUAAUCGGAAUUACUGGGCGUAAAGCGCGCGUAGGCGGUCUGAUAAGCCGGUUGUGAAAGCCCCGGGCUCAACCUGGGAACGGCAUCCGGAACUGUCAGGCUAGAGUGCAGGAGAGGAAGGUAGAAUUCCCGGUGUAGCGGUGAAAUGCGUAGAGAUCGGGAGGAAUACCAGUGGCGAAGGCGGCCUUCUGGACUGACACUGACGCUGAGGUGCGAAAGCGUGGGUAGCAAACAGGAUUAGAUAACCUAGUAGUC
rnacentral:rRNA from 1 species